rnacentral:rRNA from 1 species
CCUACGGGAGGCAGCAGUGGGGAAUUUUGGACAAUGGGCGCAAGCCUGAUCCAGCAAUGCCGCGUGAGUGAAGAAGGCCUUCGGGUUGUAAAGCUCUUUUGUCAGGGAAGAAACGGUGGGAGCUAAUAUCUCUCACUAAUGACGGUACCUGAAGAAUAAGCACCGGCUAACUACGUGCCAGCAGCCGCGGUAAUACGUAGGGUGCAAGCGUUAAUCGGAAUUACUGGGCGUAAAGCGUGCGCGGGCGGUUUUGUAAGUCUGUCGUGAAAGCCCCGGGCUCAACCUGGGAAUUGCGAUGGAGACUGCAAGGCUUGAAUCUGGCAGAGGGGGGUAGAAUUCCACGUGUAGCAGUGAAAUGCGUAGAGAUGUGGAGGAACACCGAUGGCGAAGGCAGCCCCCUGGGUCAAGAUUGACGCUCAUGCACGAAAGCGUGGGGAGCAAACAGGAUUAGAUACCCUGGUAGUCCACGCCCUAAACGAUGUCUACUAGUUGUCGGGUUUUAAUUAACUUGGUAACGCAGCUAACGCGUGAAGUAGACCGCCUGGGGAGUACGGUCGCAAGNUUAAAACCGUCAAAAGUAGUAGUACGGCGUCGUAGACGUAGCCGACGGACGACCACGACGGGAGGUUAGGAGG